rnacentral:rRNA from 1 species
GAUGAACGCUGGCGGCGUGCUUAACACAUGCAAGUCGAACGAUGAAGCCCAGCUUGCUGGGUGGAUUAGUGGCGAACGGGUGAGUAACACGUGAGUAACCUGCCCUUGACUCUGGGAUAAGCCUGGGAAACUGGGUCUAAUACUGGAUAUGACUUCUCAUCGCAUGGUGGGGGGUGGAAAGAUUUAUUGGUCUUGGAUGGACUCGCGGCCUAUCAGCUUGUUGGUGAGGUAAUGGCUCACCAAGGCGACGACGGGUAGCCGGCCUGAGGGGGUGACCGGCCACACUGGGACUGAGACACGGCCCAGACUCCUACGGGAGGCAGCAGUGGGGAAUAUUGCACAAUGGGCGCAAGCCUGAUGCAGCGACGCCGCGUGAGGGAUGACGGCCUUCGGGUUGUAAACCUCUUUCAGUAGGGAAGAAGCGAGAGUGACGGUACCUGCAGAAGAAGCGCCGGCUAACUACGU